UGGGGAAUAUUGGACAAUGGGGGCAACCCUGAUCCAGCAAUGCCGCGUGAGUGAUGAAGGCCUUCGGGUUGUAAAGCUCUUUUGGCGGGGACGAUGAUGACGGUACCCGCAGAAUAAGCCCCGGCUAACUUCGUGCCAGCAGCCGCGGUAAUACGAAGGGGGCUAGCGUUGUUCGGAAUUACUGGGCGUAAAGGGCGCGUAGGCGGCUCUGAUCGUCGGAUGUGAAAGGCCUGGGCUCAACCUGGGAACGGCAUCCGAUACGGCAGGGCUUGAGUGUGGGAGAGGUUGGUGGAAUUCCCAGUGUAGAGGUGAAAUUCGUAGAUAUUGGGAAGAACACCGGUGGCGAAGGCGGCCAACUGGACCACAACUGACGCUGAGGCGCGAAAGCGUGGGGAGCAAACAGG
rnacentral:rRNA from 1 species